GACACAUGAGGUCUGAGAUGGUAGAGGUGAGACAGGAACAGACACAUGAGGAGGUCUGAGAUGGUAGAGGUGAGACAGGAACAGACACAUGAGGAGGUCUGAGAUGGUAGAGGUGAGACAGGAACAGACACAUGAGGAGGUCUGAGAUGGUAGAGGUGAGACAGGAACAGACACAUGAGGAGGUCUGAGAUGGUAGAGGUGAGACAGGAACAGACACAUGAGGAGGUCUGAGAUGGUAGAGGUGAGACAGGAACAGACACAUGAGGAGGUCUGAGAUGGUAGAGGUGAGACAGGAACAGACACAUGAGGAGGUCUGAGAUGGUAGAGGUGAGACAGGAACAGACACAUGAGGUCUGAGAUGGUAGAGGUGAGACAGGAACAGACACAUGAGGUCUGAGAUGGUAGAGGUGAGACAGGAACAGACACAUGAGGAGGUCUGAGAUGAUAGAGGUGAGACAGGAACAGACACAUGAGGUCUGAGAUGGUAGAGGUGAGACAGGA